UCGACACAUCGCAGUUGCCAUCUUUGCCUAACCAUCUCGUCUCUCUGUCUCGAGACAAAAAGUGAGGGGUGCCGCUCUUGGUGCCGCAGAGAGAAGGGAGGAGAGAUCCGGAGCUCCCCAGGCGUCCGCACGCGAUCGCUUCCGGUGCCUAAAGGUGUGUUUCUGGUUGCAGUUUCCGCUCUCAUUUCAACGCUGCACCCGCAUACGGCUCCGAUUUCAAUGUCCCAACCACUCCCAGUUGGAACUUGGGAUGGAAUUAAUAAUUAGGGUUAAAGACGACUCCUUUUUAGUUCCUCAUCGGUGUUCUCUUUUUCUGUCCUUCGUAAAAAUUGGAUUUUGGACUUACUUUGUGUGUUCUUUUUGCCUACGCGAUGCGGACGCAAAAAGUAGUCGCUUUUAUUCUCGUAUCAAGAUUGGGUAGAAAAGAUGGAGGUUUUUAACCAAGAACAUAAUCCAAUCGCAUCUUCUCCGGUGAUCUGUUUGAUAUCCUUUGAAAGCAGGAUUAGUGAGUGUAUGCGAAGUGUAAAUGAUGGAAUAUAAAAUGAAAUUAAAUUUUUAUAUAUGAAUAAAUAUUAACAUGCAGUAAAAUAAAAUAGAAUCACAAUAACAUUAAGAUAUAUGUUAAAAAUCUUUUCAGUACGAAGGAUAAAAAUCAUAUAGAGAUAAUCUACUAUAAGAAUAAAGAAUAUAUAAAUCUUAAUCUCUUAUUCAAAACCUUAAUAACAAUCACAAGAGAAUAAUUAGGAUACCAGAAUCAUAUCACUGUACAUAAUAUCUAGAAUAUAUUAUAGAUCUGAUCUAAUCUAGAAUAAAAAUACUACCGGAUUUCUAAUUUUUUCUUUGGAUUUCUAAUAUAGAUCUUAUUUUUUUUUUUUUUUUUUCUUUGGAUUUCUAAUUUUUUCUCCUCAUUUUUGCUAAUCACCCAUGCUAUCCUCGUUGUUGUCCUGCUUAUUUUUGCAGUUAUCAUACACCCUCGUAAUAUGAAUUAAGAUUAGGUUAAAAGAAAAAAAAAAAAGGGUUAUGAGCUGUUGAAGCUCGCUGAACCAUAGACGGUCAGCUCAACAGUAAAGGAACAAAAAAUUGUAGUUCGGAAAUGAUGUAUUUUUCGUUCCGUUUAUUUGUCGACGUUUUUUUUGGUGGCGAGAACGAUUGUGUUUAGUUGCUUUCAUGGGCAAAAAAGGUUUAGUUCCUGUCUAUCUGCUGUUCGGUGGGUGACUGCGGUAAUAAAUGGGGAGAAAGGGCACAGAACCUCACUGUCGUGGUUCCAUGUGCGUGUACCGGCUUCCGUCUUCGCAUUUCACGAAUGGUCGCUUUGUUUGAUCUGUUCUUGCGGCAACCCUUUUCCUCAAGAUCUCGUUUUUUGUGUGUUUCCCGAUGUACUGGUGCGUCAACCGAUGGAGAAGGUGAAGAGGCUCGAAUGAAAGGAAAUAAAAGGAGUGGCGCCUUUCUCCAUUUCAAUCAAUUCCACCGUCGACCAUCCAAGAGUAGGAAGUCAGAUCUCGUCCCCCCAAGUUGACUUUUUUAUUGCUCGUUUGUCUUCAAAUCUGAAGAAUGGUUCGUGGUAGAACAAUAAGAAGUCUUUUUUGAGUGAAACAAAAAUUUGGCGAACUUUUAAGUCUUUGAUAGAGAGGGAAAAGCCUAGUGUUGGUUUCUUUUCCGGGAGCAUCAAACUUGUUGUGCUAAUUCCUUCAUCGACUAUACGAUGGUACGGGCUUUGAACAGAUUUAUGGCAGAUUAAACCAAUAUAUCUGGGAAUUUGUUUCUUGUGUUUUCGUUCUUGUUUCAGCUGUAAGAAAAGAAAGUGAAAGUAACUUCCAUAUGCAUCUCAGUCAUUAUUCUCGGUGAAGGGAACUUGCUUUAUCCGGGACUGAGGAAUACAAGCGUUGGGAUUCAAUAUCUUCUUAAUGAACACGUACUGCUUUUGGCUGUCGAUGCGUCUGGAGAUCGAUUGCAUCCUGGCAUGACUCCUGGAGAAUAAUACUUCAAAUCUUGCUACAAGUGCUUCUUUGAUGGACUGGGUUCCGAAAACUCCGUUCCCCUGGGAUUGGGAAACUCUGGAAUUAUUCAGUGGAAAAGAAAGUGAAAUUUCUAAAGCUGCACAAGUACCUGACUUGAAGAUUGAUGGUGGUGCCUUUAUUUGCAAUAGAUCUGUAUGUUCGUCUGGUCGUGGUGCCUCCUCUGUUCUGGAAUUGGGUAAUCGUUCAUCCAAAAGCUCCAUCUCAGCAUCUGUUGAUUCCCUUUCUGGGGCAGGAAAGAGAAAAUCACAGCUCAACUUUGAUUCCGCUGGAAGGGCCCCUCAUAACCUGGACAAUAAUAUUAUUGCAAGGGUUGAGGAUUCUGGAACUUCGACUGUACCAGUCGUUGCAGACCACCCUAAGGAACCACUUACAGGUUUAAAGCUUGGGCCAACUUACUUCGAAGAUGUUGCUUCAGUGAACAACAUCAAAAACUUGUCUUCCUCAGCUACUAUGACCUCAUCGGCUGCCUUAGCCAAGAAAUCUAGGGUGUCUCAACAGAACUUACAGAGUCCUUAUUGCCAGGUUGAGGGUUGUAACAUUGACCUUACAACAGCGAAAGACUAUCAUCGCAAACAUAGAGUCUGUGAAAGCCACUCAAAGUCUCCCAAGGUGAUUGUAGCUGGUAAAGAGCGCAGGUUUUGUCAACAGUGUAGCAGGUUCCAUGAUUUGUCCGAGUUUGAUCAGAAAAAGCGGAGUUGCCGAAGACGUUUAUCAGAUCAUAAUGCACGUCGCAGAAAGCCACAGCCAACAGCAAUCUCAUUCAAUUCUUCUAGGCUUUCUUCAUCAUAUUAUGAUGAUAGACAUCAGAUGAACCUUGUUUUUGGUCGAGCUCCUCUGGGUCAUGUGACAACCACUCAUAUGUCAACCAAACAAUGCUUCUACUCUUAAUCAUGACUUGGACAGACUCUUGUCAUUCAAGGGCACAGCAGCCGAGGUCCUCAAUCAAGAUCUGGAAGCAUCUGCAUUUGCAUCUAACACGAACAUAACACCGGAUCUUCGGCGUGCUCUCUCUCUUCUGUCAAAUGAUUCUUGGUUAGCUGGACCAAGUUCUAUGAAGUUUGUAAAUACACAGAAUGCGAGUACCA